rnacentral:rRNA from 1 species
GACUCAACGCGGGAAAUCUUACCGGGUCCGGACACACUGAGGAUUGACAGGCAAUAUUAGCACUUAGCUUCUUGCGACGUGUUAUGUUAAAUAUGCUAGUCCUUUCAUGAUUAUGUGAUAGGUGGUGCAUGGCCGUUCUUAGUUCGUGGAGUGAUCUGUCUGCUUAAUUGCGUUUCACCAAGGGCCUAUAAUUUUACGUGUGUUGCGGCACUUUGACCCCUCUUUUUUUAAAGAGCGCGUGUCUUGGUUUGCUUAGCUCGCACAAUUAGGUCCUGAAAGCAACGAACGUGACCGCAACCUCUUGUUGCCUUUAUACCAAACGUGCAUAUGUAAUUUUUU